rnacentral:lncRNA from 1 species
ACUAACAACAAUGAAAACUAACUAAAUAAUAUAAUUUAAUAAUGGGGGGUUUGGUUUUGACGAGAAGUAAAUUAAACUUAAAUAAAUUACAGAAUUGACAAAAACAUGAAAUUAAGGUGAAAGGAUAGGUGACGGACUAGCUAGAGGGUUCUUCUCCACACAUGACACAUAUGCAACCUAAAUUGAUUUUCAGUUGUUCUUUCAAUAAAUUGUAAAUCUCAACGCCCCAAAUUAACCGUGAAUUGCACUAAUUAACCCUCAGUUUUUCCACAAUGUUAUUGGGUUCGAUGAUUGCAUACGAAAACCCAAAACAUUCCCUACAAGUUCCCUACAUGAAUUGCAUAAUAGAGAUACAAGCAAGAAUCAUUAAGUUCUAUGAAAAACAUAAGCAUUGACGAGGCACUCGUUACUAUGAUUUGCAUGAAACUUAUGCCAAGAAUUUACUUAACGUGAUUGUGACUAGCAACCUUCACUACUUGUGAAUAUAAGUUCAUAACGAUUAGGUGAAAUUCACUUAUAUUCUAGCAUCAAAUUCAUGCAUGUAAAUUAAGUAUGCAUCCUUAAUCGACAUACAAAAAUAAGUUAUAAAUCAAGCAGUUAAGCAAAUUAAAUCACAACUCAGAAAUCACAACUGAAGGUAAUCAAUUCAUAUUACAAAUAUAUUCAUGGCUUUGAAUUAACCUCUAGCCAAAAUAAAUUUAGUUACACAUUAUUAAAACAGAAAUAAAAUAUAAGUUUGGAAAGAUUUAACCGAGAGAGAGGGCAGAUUGCUGCUUUCUUCACUGGCGUCCUCCCUGUCUUCUCUUGAUCUCUCCGCAUGUCCUCACUUCCCCCUGCUGUCCUCACCUUUCUCUGCUGUCCUCACCUUCGGUUUCUGCUUUCCUCGCUGCCCAAGGCAGCCAAGCCUUUUAUUCCUCCUGCGCAGGUUCACGCUGCAAGAGCAGCCUGAUGCGAAAUAUAUAAGCACACAAAUUUAACCCUCUUUUUGACAAUUGUAGUAUAGAUGUAAGUAGGGUAUCGUUCUAGGCCGGGGAUUAGGAGGGAUUGCUAAUCUAUUCUAAAUUAAUUUAAAAAUAUUAAAUAAGACUCAAGGACACAAAACUAGGCUAAAAACUCUAAUAACUCGAAACACACGUAGAAUGACCCAAAAUAAUGGAAACAAUCAAAUUAGACACUAGGAACUGAAAUGGACGGAAAUUGAAUUAAAAGACUAACAACAAUGAAAGCUAACUAAAUAAUAUAAUUUAAUAAUGGGGGGUGUUUGGUUUUGACGAGAAGUAAAUUAAACUUAAAUAAAUUACAGAAUUGACAAAAAUAUGAAAUUAAGGUGAAAGGAUAGAUGACGGACUAGCUAGAGGGUUCUUCUCCACACAUGACACAUAUGCAACCUAAAUUGAUUUUUCAGUUGUUCUUUCAAUAAAUUGUAAAUCUCAACGCCCCAAAUUAACCGUGAAUUGCACUAAUUAACCCU